AGUGAACGCUGGCGGUAGGCCUAACACAUGCAAGUCGAACGGCAACACAGUAAGAGCUUGCUCUUACGGGUGGCGAGUGGCGGACGGGUGAGGAAUACAUCGGAAUCUACUUUUUCGUGGGGGAUAACGUAGGGAAACUUACGCUAAUACCGCAUACGACCUACGGGUGAAAGCAGGGGAUCUUCGGACCUUGCGCGAUUGAAUGAGCCGAUGUCGGAUUAGCUAGUUGGCGGGGUAAAGGCCCACCAAGGCGACGAUCCGUAGCUGGUCUGAGAGGAUGAUCAGCCACACUGGAACUGAGACACGGUCCAGACUCCUACGGGAGGCAGCAGUGGGGAAUAUUGGACAAUGGGCGCAAGCCUGAUCCAGCCAUACCGCGUGGGUGAAGAAGGCCUUCGGGUUGUAAAGCCCUUUUGUUGGGAAAGAAAAGCAGCAGGUUAAUACCCCGCUGUUCUGACGGUACUCAAAGAAUAAGCACCGGCUAACUUCGUG
rnacentral:rRNA from 1 species